rnacentral:tRNA from 1 species
AAGUAUGAAGCGAUUUAUUGCAAUUAGUUUCGACCUAAUUUUAGAUUUUAUUAUCCUUACUUU